GACAGCGUGGCCUAGUGGAAAGAGCAUGGGACUGAGAGUCAGCAGACCUGGGUUUGAGACCCAGCUCUGUCA
rnacentral:tRNA from 1 species